CAUACGUUGACGGUAUUUAACCAGAAAGUCACGGCUAACUACGUGCCAGCAGCCGCGGUAAUACGUAGGUGGCAAGCGUUAUCCGGAUUUAUUGGGCGUAAAGAGAGUGCAGGCGGUUUUCUAAGUCUGAUGUGAAAGCCCUUCGGCUUAAACCGGAGAAGUGCAUCGGAAACUGGAUAAACUUGAGUGCAGAAGAGGGUAGUGGAACUCCAUGUGUAGCGGUGGAAUGCGUAGAUAUAUGGAAGAACACCAGUGGCGAAGGCGGCUACCUGGUCUGCAACUGACGCUGAGACUCGAAAGCAUGGGUAGCGAACAGGAUUAGAUACCCUGGUAG
rnacentral:rRNA from 1 species